CAGCCAUAACUCCCCUGCUUGCUGUCUCCUAUAGUUCAGGGCUAGUGGAGGGAGGAUAACUUAUUGCCAAAAGUGGUGGGAAAAUCACAGUCUCCCUCUUUUGGACAAAGGUAUUUGGGCUGUUGAUGUCCUAGGUUUGUGCCUCACCACAAAGCCUCCUGUUGAAUGGCUUCUACUCCCAGACGGCUUUUAGAUUGUCACAAAAC